rnacentral:rRNA from 1 species
GAUGAACGCUGGCGGCGUGCCUAAUACAUGCAAGUCGAGCGCACAGACGAGGCGCUUGCUCCUCUGACGUUAGCGGCGGACGGGUGAGUAACCCGUGGAUAACCUACCUAUCAGACUGGGCUACAUUCGGGAAACCGGAGCUAAUACCGGAUAUUAUAUUGAACCGCAUGGUUCAAUAGUGAAAGACGGUUUUGCUGUCACUUAUAGAUGGAUCCGCGCCGCAUUAGCGAGUUGGUAAGGUAACGGCUUACCAAGGCAACGAUGCGUAGCCGACCUGAGAGGGUGAUCGGCCACACUGGAACUGAGACACGGUCCAGACUCCUACGGGAGGCAGCAGUAGGGAAUCUUCCGCAAUGGGCGAAAGCUUGACGGAGCAACGCCGCGUGAGUGAGGAAGGUCUUCGGAUCGUAAAACUCUGUUAUUAGGGAAGAACAAAUGUGUAAGUAACUAUGCACGUCUUGACGGUACCUAAUCAGAAAGCCACGGCUAACUACGUG